UACGUAGGGGGCAAGCGUUGUCCGGAAUCAUUGGGCGUAAAGAGCGUGUAGGCGGCCCGGUAAGUCCGCUGUGAAAGUCGAGGGCUCAACCCUCGAAUGCCGGCGGAUACUGUCGGGCUAGAGUCCGGAAGAGGCGAGUGGAAUUCCUGGUGUAGCGGUGAAAUGCGCAGAUAUCAGGAGGAACACCGGUGGCGAAGGCGGUUCUCUGGGCCUUACCUGACGCUGAGGAGCGAAAGCGUGGGGAGCGAACAGG
rnacentral:rRNA from 1 species